GUGCGAAAUAUUGGACCGGUGUCUUUUUUGUUUUUCAUUUAGCAUUUAUUCAUUACUGUUCGUCGUGUAUUAAAUUUGCUGUUAUAAUUCUUGUGCCACUAUUAAACAUGCGUUAAAUCAACCAGCUUUUCUUGUGUUUCUAACAAACGUUUAAAUUGUAAAUCAUUGUUUUGUUUGGUAAGUAUUUGACAUUUCUAUAAUACUAUUAAAAUUAUAGACCCGUUGACAUGUGAUAAGUGCGAUAUUAUUUGUAUAGAUUUUUAAAAAGCUCUAAUCUUGUUUACCAAACGAAAAAAUCAAAACAAGUAUAGUUUCACACAAUUAUACUGGAUACUUAAUACUUGUAUUACGAUUGUUAGAAAUUUGAUAUUGUCGAAAUAAUACUUGUU
rnacentral:lncRNA from 1 species